rnacentral:pre_miRNA from 9 species
GCCCGCACGGGAAAAUCGAUUUUCCCGUGCAGUCAUCCUAAAUGAACCGCACAGAAAAAUAAACCGAUUUUUCCGUGCGGGC